GGCGAGGACAAGCAGCAGGAGCAAACUAUUGCCAAGGACCUGGUUGUGACCAAAUAUAAGAUUGGGGGGCAACACCACCAACCAGGUACUUUGGUCCUUGGUGGAAGCAUUUAGCUCAGAUACCAUGAUUAUGGAAGAAACAGGGAAAGUCUUCGAGAAAAAAAAAAAAAAGAAAUGAAAAAAGGUAUUGCUUUUCCCACCAUCAUUUUGGUAAACAACUGUGUAUGUCACUUCUCCUCUUUGAAGAGUGACCAGGAUUAUAUUCUCAAAGAAGGUAAGUUGGUAAAAAUUGACCUUGGGGUCCAUGUGAAUGGCUUCAUCACUAAUAUAGCUCAUACUUCCCUGGUUGAUGUAGCUCAGGGGACUCAAGUAACAGGGAGGAAAGCAGAUGUUAUUAAGACAACUCACCUUUGUGCUGAAGCUGCCCUACACCUGGUCAAACCUAGUAACCAGAACACACAAGAGACAGAAGCUCAGAACAAAGCUUCCCACUCAUUUAACUGCGCUGCAAUAGAAGGUAUGCUGUUAAACCAGUUGAAGCAGCAUGUCAUCAAUGGAGGAAAAAAACAUUAACCAGAAUCGCACAGACCAGCAGAAGGACCAUGAAAAAGCUGAAUUUGAGGUACAUGAACUAUAUGCUGUGGAUGUUCUCUUCAGCUAAGGAAAGGGCAAGACCAAGGAUACAGGAUAGAGAACCACUAUUUACAAACGAGACCCCUCUAAACAGUACGGACUGAAAAUGAAAACUACAUGUGCCUUCUUCAGUGAGAUGGAAAGGCAUUUUCAUGUCAGGUCACUUAUUUUAAGAGCAUUUUAAGAUGAGAAGAAGCCUCAGAUGGGUGUGGUGAAGUGUGCCAAACAUGAACUGUGGCAACCAUUUAAUGUUCUCUAUGAGAAGGAGGGUGAAUUUGUUGCCCAUUUUAAAUUUACAGUUCUGCUCAUGCCCAUUGGCCUUAUGCAGUAAACCAGUGGUCCCUUCAAGCCUGACCUCUACAAGUCUAAGAUGGAGGUCGAGGAUACAGAGCUAAAGGCCCUCUUCCAGAGUUCUGCAAGUCAAAAAACCCAGAAAAAGAAAACAAAGAAGGUCUCCAAGACUGCAGAGAAUGCCACCAGUGAGGAAACAGAAGAAAAUGAAGCUGGGGACUGA